rnacentral:rRNA from 1 species
CCUACGGGAGGCAGCAGCGAGGAAUAUUGGUCAAUGGGCGCGAGCCUGAACCCGCCAAGUAGCGUGAAGGAUGAAGGCACUACGGGUUGUAAACUUCUUUUAUAAAGGAAUAAAGUGAGGCACGUGUGCCUUUUUGUAUGUACUAUAUGAAUAAGGAUCGGCUAACUCCGUGCCAGCAGCCGCGGUAAUACGGAGGAUCCGAGCGUUAUCCGGAUUUAUUGGGUUUAAAGGGAGCGUAGGUGGGUUGUUAAGUCAGAUGUGAAAGUUUGCGGCUCAACCGUAAAAUUGCAGUUGAUACUGGCAGUCUUGAGUACAGUUGAGGUAGGCGGAAUGCGUGGUGUAGCGGUGAAAUGCAUAGAUAUCACGAAGAACUCCGAUUGCGAAGGCAGCUUACUAAACUGCAACUGACACUGAUGCUCGAAAGUGUGGGUAUCAAACAGGAUUAGAUACCCGUGUAGUC